rnacentral:tRNA from 1 species
UCCGCGGUAGCUCAACGGUAGAGCAGAAAGCUGUUAACUUUAAGGUUGCUGGUUCGAAUCCAGCCCGCGGAGCCA